rnacentral:rRNA from 1 species
GACGAACGCUGGCGGCGUGCCUAAUACAUGCAAGUCGAGCGGACGGAUGGGAGCUUGCUCCCAGACCGUCAGCGGCGGACGGGUGAGUAACACGUGGGCAACCUGCCUGUAAGACUGGGAUAACUCCGGGAAACCGGGGCUAAUACCGGAUAACUCUUUCCCUCACAUGAGGGAAAGCUGAAAGAUGGCAUCUCGCUAUCACUUACAGAUGGGCCCGCGGCGCAUUAGCUAGUUGGUGAGGUAACGGCUCACCAAGGCGACGAUGCGUAGCCGACCUGAGAGGGUGAUCGGCCACACUGGGACUGAGACACGGCCCAGACUCCUACGGGAGGCAGCAGUAGGGAAUCUUCCGCAAUGGACGAAAGUCUGACGGAGCAACGCCGCGUGAGUGAUGAAGGUGUUCGGAUCGUAAAACUCUGUUGUCAGGGAAGAACAAGUACCGGAGUAACUGCCGGUACCUUGACGGUACCUGAACAGAAAGCCACGGCUAACUACGUG